AGUCACCAUCUGUAGUGAUUUUGGAGCCCAGAAAAAUAAAGUCUGACACUGUUUCCACUGUUUCCCCAUCUAUUUCCCAUGGAUACUAUUACCGGAAGCCAUAUGAAGCAGGAAGAAACUUAACAAAAAAACAAACAAACAAAACAACAAAAAAACUUCGUUUUUGUUUGAGUUGUUUAUUCCAGGAGAAUUUCCCUCAGGGAGAUUUUUUUUUUUUUCUUCUAAGAAAAUACCUUAAUGGCUCUACUGACUAUGAAAAGUAGGCCAGAAGCCCUGUGUCAGUCUAGAUGGGAAAGCAUGAGAUAGACUAUCAACUGUGCUAAAAUGGCAGGAAUUUAGAGCUUCUCUGCUAUUGGCUCAGGAAAAGAUGAAGGGAGAGGAAGAGCUAAGAAGUAACCUGGCUGCAGACUAUGUUGUUUAGUCGCUAAGUCGUGUCCGACUCUUUGCAUCCCCAUGGACUGUAGCCCACUAGUCUCUGUCUAUGGGAUUUUCCAGGCAAGAACACAAGAGUGGGAUGCCAUUUCCUUCUCCAGGGAAUCUUCCCAACCCAGGGAUCCAACCCAUGUCAUCUGCAUUACAGGCAGAUUCUUUACCACCGAGCCACCAGGCAAGCCUUGGCUUGCAGACUACAGGACCCAGCUUUUUUAUAGUGGACAAGAAAAUUCUGUGGACUCAGGAGAGACAAAUACAUUUCCAGAAAAGUUAUAUCUGAAAUUCAGUAUGCAAAUUUUUUUAGCUCUGGGUAGUCAUUCUUAUUAUCCCCAAACUUUUGGUUAAGUCUGUUAUGCACAACAGCUAUGACUUAGAGGUUCUUAAAGGGCAAUAGAGAGAAGAGACCAAAUCCAUUCUAGUGAGACUCAAGCUAGAGAGGAAAGCAAAGCCUCAAGAAAGGAGAUGGGGAGCAGAGUGCAGGGACAGAGUUGGGAGCAGAAAUUCUGAGUGAGCUUCAGUGGAAAACAUGAAUGCAUCCCUCAUUUCAGGCUUCAGAAAUUGUAAAGAAAAUACCAGAAUUUCACAGUCUCAGGAAUAGGGCUUGGACAUGUAUUCUAAGAUUAAGGAGUUUUACCAGAAGACUGGAGAGUGGGGGCCACCUUGGUUGACAUUGUUCAAAGCUGUUUCUACAGAUGGAAUCAGCUUGAUCCUGUUUCCUGGACUUCAAAUUGCCUUGCAUCAGAUAGAUGGUCCUUAAGAUAACUUUUUUUUAAAAAUAUAGUUACUAUUAUCUUUAUUUUUCAGAUAAAGAAAACAAAGGUUAGAGAGACUGUGAAAGGUUAGAGAGGUUACCCAAAGCUUGUGCAUUAUGGAGCCUCAACUUGAACCCAAGACUUUUGAUUCCAAAUCCGGUGCUCUUAUUAUUAUGCCAGUUUUCUUGAAUUUAUUUUAAACUGAAAGAAUGGAAGAGGAGUUUUUUUUCUGUGAUUUUCUCAAAGUCCCAAACCCUACUACAGACAAUUCUGCGUACAGAAGUAUGCUAGGAGUCUAUCUUGAUGACACUGCUGUAUUUUAUACUAAUUUCCUUAGAACUAUAAGUGACAAAUGAUGAGAUACCAAACUAAGAACAAGUGGGAGUUCUUUAAUUGAUGUCUGUUUUUAUGUCCAGUUAAUUUUUCCCCCCAAAGGUAAAUAACACAUCAUUUUAGAGAACUGUAGAAACAUACUCAUUAUAAGUAGUACUUAGGAUUUACAAGAGG
ensembl:lncRNA